rnacentral:lncRNA from 1 species
CUGACAACCACAUUCCUUAAAGAAAGGUCCUGUGCCAUUUCCAGAGCUUUUCUUUUUUCUCGUCAUGGUGUUGGCUUUUAAUGGAAACCAGGAAACUUGAUGCACCGAGCCCAAGAAAUGACCAUCGAGCCAACCAGUUCUUGCUGUGUAACCAAGGGCGCUGAGGCCCAGCGGCUGGGCCAGCUGGCUGGGAGUUGCUGAUGGA